rnacentral:rRNA from 1 species
CCUACGGGUGGCAGCAGUGAGGAAUAUUGGUCAAUGGACGAGAGUCUGAACCAGCCAAGUAGCGUGAAGGAUGACUGCCCUAUGGGUUGUAAACUUCUUUUAUAUGGGAAUAAAACGUUCCACGUGUGGGAUUUUGUAUGUACCAUAUGAAUAAGGAUCGGCUAACUCCGUGCCAGCAGCCGCGGUAAUACGGAGGAUCCGAGCGUUAUCCGGAUUUAUUGGGUUUAAAGGGAGCGUAGGUGGACUGUUAAGUCAGUUGUGAAAGUUUGCGGCUCAACCGUAAAAUUGCAGUUGAUACUGGCAGUCUUGAGUACAGUAGAGGUGGGCGGAAUUCGUGGUGUAGCGGUGAAAUGCUUAGAUAUCACGAAGAACUCCGAUUGCGAAGGCAGUUCACUGGACUGCAACUGACACUGAGGCUCGAAAGUGUGGGUAUCAAACAGGAUUAGAUACCCUGGUAGUC